rnacentral:rRNA from 1 species
CCUGAACGCUGGCGGCGUGGCUAAGACAUGCAAGUCGCACGGGGCCCGCAAGGGUCCAGUGGCGGACGGGUGAGUAAUGAAUCGCUAAUGUACCCCGAUGUCUGGGAUAGCUGCCCGAAAGGGCAGGUAAUACCAGAUGAGACCACAGGCAGGCAUCUGCCGGUGCUCAAAGGGUCACCGCAUUGGGAGCAGGCGAUUUCGUAUCAG